UACGUAGGGGGCAAGCGUUGUCCGGAUUUAUUGGGCGUAAAGAGCGUGUAGGCGGCCAUGCAGGUCCGUUGUGAAAACUCGAGGCUCAACCUCGAGACGCCGGUGGAAACCGUGUGGCUAGAGUCCGGAAGAGGAGAGUGGAAUUCCUGGUGUAGCGGUGAAAUGCGCAGAUAUCAGGAAGAACACCCGCGGCGAAGGCGGCUCUCUGGGACGUGACUGACGCUGAGACGCGAAAGCGUGGGGAGCAAACAGG
rnacentral:rRNA from 1 species